ACGUGCGCAUCAUGCACACGAGCUGUUAGAGCUCCCAAGAAACCGGUCAUGGUAGCUCAGCAUCUCAGAAAACAACGCCGACGUAUUUCAAUACCUGGUAUAUCUACAGUGCAAAGCAGCGGUCAAGUCUCCUCUGUACCCUGUAGCAGCAGUGCAGCAGCACGCUACUCCUCCAUUAUUGCCACCAUUACUCUUGCUCUGCAGCAGUCCAGCAGUAGCACAUCACGCUCCUCCACUAUUGCCUCACCAGCGCCUCGCUCUCCAUUGAGCGCCAACAUUACUCUGCUCCUCCAUCGAACACCACGGAGGACCGGACCAAACCAUGGCGCUUGUGUAGCAGCUCGUCUCUUCUUCUCAAGGCAGGGGGGAAAGGCGGAGAUGGCGGGCGUGGGCGUCGGGACGGGGGCGCUGGGCUCCGUCAUCGCCAAGCUUGCCGCCCUGCUCGGCGACGAGUACAAGAUGCUCAACCGGGUGCGCAAGGACAUCACCUUCCUCGAGCGCGAGCUCCGCCGGAUGCAGAUCCUGGUGAACGCUCUGGCGGACAUGGAGGGGCUCGACGCCCUGGCCAAGGACUGGAAGGGCAGCAUGCGCGACCUCAGCUACGACAUGGAGGAGUGCAUCGACCGCUUCAUGCGACGCAUCGGCGGCAAGCGGAGCUUCCCCAAGAAGGCCGCGCGCCGGCUCAAGACCCUGUUCGCGCGCCAUGGCAUCGGGACCCAGAUCAAGGAGCUCAAGGCCCGCGUCGCCGAGGAGGGCGAGCGGCGGCAGAGGUUAAACCUCGACAACUACGCCCCACCGACGACCGUGGCGAUAGAUCCCCCGCUCGCUGCGUUCCACGGGGUGGCCAAAGGCUUGGUGGCCAUGGACGGCCGCAGGGAUGAGGUUAUUUCUCUAUUGACUGAGGAGAGGGUGGAGCUCAAGGUGGUGGCCAUUGUUGGAGGUGGGGGGCUGGGAAAGACCACACUUGCCAUGGAAACCUACCGCAAGAUUGGAGAGCAUUUCCAAUGCCGAGCUUCGGUGUCGGUGUCGCGCACCCCUGACCUCGAGACGCUCUUGAAAGAUGUCCUGUCUCAAAUCGAUGGAGAUGCCCAGUCAGAGAGGUGGAAUAAAGACCAACUCAUUCGUCGGAUCCAAAGUAGCUUGACAGGAAAGAGGUACAUUCUUGUUAUUGAUGAUGUAUGGAAAAUACAAGACUGGAAAUUUCUCAAAGCAGCUUUUCCUGACAAUGAUAAUGGUAGCAGAAUAAUUGUUACUACACGCAUUACCAACGUAGCUAAGUCAUCUUGUUCUAACUCCAGUGAUCAUCUCUACCAAAUGCCACCUCUGAAUGAUGUUGAUUCCCAAAGAUUGUUCUUUAAGAGAAUUUUCAACUCGGACAACUCCUGCCCUACUCAACUAGAAGAUGUUUCAGCUAGGAUCUUAAGAAAAUGUGGUGGUGUGCCAUUAGCUAUAAUUACCAUUGCCAGUUUGCUAUCCCAUAAACCUCAAACCCCAGAUGAAUGGGAGAGACUCCAAGAUUCCAUUGGUGCGGGUCUUUCAUAUGAGAGUGAUGGUGAUGGAAAUGAUAUGCGACAUAUAUUGUUACUUAGUUACUAGGAUCUUCCACACCACUUGAAGACUUGUUUAUUAUACUUAUGUAUAUAUCCCGAGGACGCGGAAAUCCCUUGUGAAGAACUGAAAUGGAAAUGGAUAGCCGAAGGAUUCCUUGCGGCAAAACGGGGAAAUUUAUAUGAAGAAGCACAGAGUUGUUUCAAUGAACUUGUCAAUAGAAGCAUGAUCCAGCUACUUCAUGCUCACAGUUUUGAAGAAAAAUAUUGUCAGGUUCAUGAUAUGGUUCUUGACCUUAUAAUUUCUCUGUCGGAUGAAGAGAAUUUUGCCACUGUUUUAAAUGGUGUCCCCAAUUCUUUGCCAAGCAAGAUCCGCCGACUCUCCCUACAAUCUAGUUGGUUUGAACAAAAAGGGAAAAUCCAAGCCAUCACAAGAAGCAAGUUACAUGUUCGCUCAUUGAAUGUGUUUAGAGUAACGAAGGAGAUACCUCCGCUUGUGGACUUCCUGUCCCUGCGUGUGUUUGAUAUAUCCAUGCGUCAUUCAUCAUGGAAAAACAAGUAUAUAAGAAAUAUAGGAAGUUUCUAUGAACUGAGGUAUUUGAGAAUUCACACGAAAGCAAUCACAAAGCUUCCUGAGGAUAUUGGAAAGCUACAGAACUUAGAGACUCUGGAUUUGCGAGGCACUUCUAUUUUUAAACUGCCAUCAACUACAGCCCGGCUACAGAAACUGGUGCGCCUAUUCGUUGACUGCUGGCAAUUUGUGUUUUCUGCUGAUAUGCUUGGUAGCAUGCGAGCCUUGGAGGAAGUGUCAGAUAUCCGUAAAGUUGACAACCCUGAGAAAUUUUUGGAAGAGCUUCGACAUCUAACAAAAUUGAGAAAGAUCUCGAUGAGUUUGUUAUGGCUUUGUUGUAAGGAUUUUGAAUGCUAUAGAGAGAGACUAGGGUCAUAUCUAAAUGAGUUGGGCAAAUGCAACCUUCGAUAUCUUCAUAUUCAUGGAAAAAUUGGAAAAUAUAUGUUGAGGGAUACUUGCUGCACCUUUCCGUACCUCCAGCAUCUUAACCUAGAGAGGUCGAUUAAAAGGGUUCCCAAGGGAAUGGCCUCCCUAACCAACAUCCUCAAAUUACAGAUAGAAGUCAGACAAUUGGAUGAGGAAGACCUCCAUGUUCUCAUGUGUAUGCCUUCUCUUGCCUAUCUCCAGCUAAAGGUAUGCGGGUCGACUGGCGUCGUGACUGUAAGUAGUGAUGGAUUCAAGCUGCUGGAGGUGUUCCACUACAUAAUUUAUCUAGACGAAGCAACAGGGAUAGAAUUUGCAGCAGGUGCUAUGCCAGCACUCCGACGGCUCCAUCUUUAUUGGAGUGCGUGUUUAGUUCUGUCGAGGUCUGGUGAUGGUGCUGGCAUGGGCAUCGAGCAUCUUUCAAGUCUUCCGCUCCUCGAGGUGGAAACUAAUUGUUGUCAUGCAAUUCCGGAGGAGGUGGAGGCUGUGGAGGGUUCCAUUGAAAAAGCAAUCGCCUUGCAUCCCAACCGUCAAACUCUUCAACUCCGUCUUUGUAGAACAAAUGAAGAUAAGAUGUUCAGGGAUGACAAGGUGAGGCAAAAGGAGCUGGAAAGGCGUAAGGGAACAUGGGAAGAUGUGUUUUAUUGGUGACACGUUGGAAGAGGUAUACAUAUAUCUUGCCCCCACCCCUGGUUUCUUCAUUCCAUUAGACAGCAUAUUCCAUGGCUAUGAAGUCAUUUACGGAUCUGCUUCUAUCUUCCUCCACAACACUAAGACUUGCCACCAUCUAUUUAUGUAAUCCCAGGCCUGUACCACGUGUUCUAGGUAGAACCUUCAGUUACAUUGUAUGUCUGUAAUAAGGUAGUUUGGUGCAUCAGGUUUUUCUUCCCAUAGUCUGUGUUCGAGUACGAGUACAGACAGUGGGUUUUCCUGGUGCUCGUCGAACCCAUGUUCUGUUUGUCUUGUUGCCUUCUCAGAGUCGGACUCAUUUUUGUUUCUCUUAUGCAACUUUCUCUUGCCUGUAUCCGGAUUAUUUGAGCUAUUUAUUUUGAAUCUUAUAUGCUA